AACGCUAAGGUUUUUUUUUUUUAAUUUCGAUAAAUAGUAUUAAAUUUGGAACUGGGAAUACAUUUGUACAAUGUGCACAGUGAAUAUUUGUUGUAAAUAGUUUACAAAUCCAAGUAAUUGUAACGUUAGAAGUUGUUGAAUGUGCAAAUAAAAGUUACGUCUCACAAUCUUACAACGGUGAAAUGUUAUCAGCGGGUUUCCUGGAUGAACUACAUUUGGACAGUGGAGGAAGGUCCAUGAGUCUGAACUCUCUGGCGGGGGCCAAAAACAUAACUUUAUCCCUGCUUCCCGGUUUCUGCCGGUUGUUGUUUUCGCUGUUCGCCGGUAAUGCACGUGAGUACGGCUCAUGUGUGUGGUUGUGAGAUCAUCUCGAAAUCAUUUUAACAGUUCAGAUAUCGGACUACAAAGAGUGCUACAGAGAGUCAGCGUUUCACCAUCAGACAGGUGCCAAUAGGCUGAAGUUGGCCCAAUGGAGUGGAAGUGCAAGUUGUGUUCUGCAACAUCAAAUACCUGGGGACAAUUAUUGCACUUCCUGUGUACCUGCGUGGAGAUGCCUCCAAGUUCUUCAGGACCUGUAAUUCAGCAGAUGGUCCAGACCUCACUGACACUCCGGUGGCUCUGCUGACAGUUGAUGACACUACUGAUGCGGCCCUCUUCAGCCCUGAGAGCAUCUGUAUUGUCGUGGAGGAUGAAAUACUUGUGAGUGGUCCCACAAAUCUGGCCGACUCAUUUCUCCUGCUCCUUGGGUACGUCUAUGCACUAGACCUACAGUACCCAAAGAAUCUCGAACUUACAUUCACAUUUAUCCAAAAAGUUGUGAUGUGUCUUGAGGACAACAAACCACUGAAAGGGCGUCUAAUGACGCUGAAGAAUGAUUUGUUCAAUGAGUGAAUCACUCAGAAUGGAUUUUUUGUUGAG